AAUUAUAGACUAAUAGUAUAAUGAGAAUUGGUCUCAAAUUCUCUGUCCAGCAUUAUUAAAAGAACACAAAUUUCUUUUCAUUUUCAUCCUCGAAGUUCAAUGACCAGUUUCAAACAGAUUGAAGUUCAAAUUGAAGAACCAAACUCACAAAAAAUGGUAUGUUCCACAAGAGAAGAUGUUUUUGUAACUUUCAUGAACAAGGCGAAUUCGACAACUCACUGUAUGAAGCUCCAAUCAAUGCACAAUUGAUUGGUCUCAAACAGAGACAGUUUAUCUAUUGAGAGCAGAAAUACCAAAUACGAGGCUUUCAGAGACAAGGGCAUUGCGGAGUACGAAAUUACACGGGUUGAGGUAAGUAACAGUCAUAAAUCGGGUCUUGAGGGUAUGAAACCCCAAUUUUUUUGGUGUCAUGUGAUUGUUUUGGAGGUGACGCACAUGUUAGGUGACGGGCGUGUGGGCGUGCACCGAGAAAAUUGUGAGUUGGUCCGUCCCGUAAAACUGUAAAGUUGAAUAACUUGUUGUUAACUAUAUGCUCUCUAUGUGUUGUAGAAAUUUGACUGUAAAUCAUAUUAGAAAUCAUGUUUAGAUUAUGUGUUGGUAUUGUAGGGACCCACAAAGGUUGUGUACAUGUUGAAUUAUCUGCUAAAUUAUUGUUUUGUACUCAGUCACAAUUUACUUGUUAUUUUAUCUCAAUCUUUAUUGUUCAUUAUUAAUGCAUCAUAUCAUUGUUGUUUGGACUGAUUUUAUGAUUUUUGAGAGCCCGAGAGACUGGAGAGAUUUGUGACUGAGUGAGGCCGAUGGCCUAAUUGUGAGAUAUUAUACUCUAGCACGUGAGUUGUCCGUGCAACACGUGAUUUGUCCGUGCGAAUCCAGAUAUUAUACUAUAGCACGUGAGUUGUCCGUGCAGAUCUAGAUAUUUAUACUAUAUCACGUGAGUUGUCCGUGCGGAUUAUAGCGCUUGAGCUGUAGGAGCCCCUCCGGAGUCUGUACACCCCCAGUGAGCGCAGGUACCCAUUGAGUGUGAGUGUUGAGGGUUGAGAGCCGAGUGGUUGAGCUGUUGUGACGAGUUGAGUGACUGUUGCCCUGAGAGGAUGUACUUGUUUAUCAUUUGGUGAUGCACUUAGUUGCUAUCUAUCAUUGUUGUGAGAUUUCUGAAAGAUUCUAUAUCCGGAGUACCUGCACUUUAACUGUAUAAAAUUGAUUUGACUUAAAUUGCCGGAUUUGAAAGUAUAUCUAUUCUUUGCUGGAAUUAUUAAAAAUGAACUGUAUUUGUAUAGCUCGUCACUAGCUUCUCAGUUCCUUAUUUAUUAUUGUUACUUACUGAGUUGAUUGUACUCAUACUACACCCUGCACUUCGUGUGCAGAUCCAGGUAUUCCCGAACAUAGCGGGUGUUGAUUUUUUCGCACAGUUGACUUUUCGGAGAUUCAAAGGUAGCUGUCGUAUUUUGCAGACCUUGCCUCUCCUUCCCUAUCUCCGUGUUUACUGUAUUUAGUCUCAGACUAUUAUAGACCGUAUUUUCCAGACUUGUAUUCAUAUUAGAUGCUCAUGUACUCAAUGAUACCGGAUUUUGGGAGUAAUUAUAUUUGUACUUGUGAGAUUUUCUUCCGCUUAAAUUAAUCAUUAUGUUUUCGUAUUUAAAAGAUAUGUGGUUUAUUGAGAUUGUCGG
rnacentral:lncRNA from 1 species